rnacentral:rRNA from 1 species
UGCAGAAUCCCGUGAACCAUCGAGUCUUUGAACGCAAGUUGCGCCUGAAGCCAUUAGGUUGAGGGCACGUCUGCCUGGGUGUCACAG